UACAGAGGUCCCAAGCGUUGUUCGGAUUCACUGGGCGUAAAGGGUGCGUAGGUGGUUGGGAAAGUUUGAUGUGAAAAGCUCGGAGCUUAACUCCGAAAUGGCAUUGAAUACUUCUUAACUUGAGGGUCGGAGGGGAGACUGGAAUUCUCGGUGUAGCAGUGAAAAUGCGUAGAUAUCGAGAGGAACACCAGUGGCGAAGGGCGAGUCUCUGGACGACUCCUGACACUGAGGCACGAAAAGCUAGGGGGAG
rnacentral:rRNA from 1 species